AUGUGAGGUCAUGGUCACAAGCUGACCACUUUACUAUUACUAUGUGGCAAGGAAAUGAACAAAUGGAAAAACUCCACAAGUUCUGCCCUGAGGAUCCUGAAUAAAAGGAAGUAAAACCUUUCCUAUAUAAAGAGAGCAUGAGACUUCUCUGUUUUGGCUGAAGAUGGACAGACCCACAGUGCUGACAAGCCAAGAGCCAAGCUGCCGGCAUCGCUGACAGCCGAGCUGAGCCAGGGGAUGAGACUUAGAAAGCAAAAGACACGUAGGUCAAAGGCCUUCAGCAAAGGAUCCCAGGAUGUGACGAUAAGCCACUGGCAAAUGAUGGCCUUCCCCUCAGCACUUGAUGGAUUUUUUUUCUCUCUUUCAUUUUUCAAAACCACUUGAUUGUUAUCAUAGAAAGAUAAAGCACCAUGGCGACAGUGAAGAGAUCCUGCAUUGAUGGAACAGCGAGUGGACAUUUUGUUUGAUGUGUUUUGGGUUAAUUUAUUCCAUACUGGCCAUGUAUUGUUUUCCAUAUGGCCUUUCUACACUUGAAUUUACUGAUUACGUUUUCAAAUAGUAAAGCUCUCCCUUAUUCCGUUUUUUUCCCCCCUUAAGAUAAACAAAAGUUAGCAUUUCAACAGGACUUCAGGGUAUUAGGACACUCACUAGAGCAAUGGGCCAAGACAACAGAGUCUCUGUUCUCAGUUUUCCUCCUAGAAAAAAAGGUUAAAUCCAGAAUCCUAAACUGUUCCUUGAAUUAUUCCUCUGGGGGGGUUAUCCUGAGAGGGGUUCCAAUCAAAACCCCUUAACUAUUCAAAGAACCCUUGGGAAUCCUUUUUUAAUAAGAAGUUCUAAACAAAUUUCCAUAUAUUAAUUAAAGUUAAAAGACACCACAUGCAAGCAUAUGUUAGGUCAUAAAAUAUUUAUUAUUAACUUUAUUAUGAACUUUUAAUUAAAUGCAUAAUAGUGCAAGCACUUGACUUAAAGAUAUAUGCACCGACCACUUUAUAAGGAACAGCUGUACCUUCUCACUCAUGCAGCACAAUGCAUAAAAUCCUGGUCAAAGUCCCUGACAUCACAUUUUUCCCCAUUGAGACAAUUCAUAUGUACAUUAACUACAGCUUUUGAUUUUAAGCGUUGUGCUGCUGUGCACUGAUUCUUUGAUUGGUUAAUUGCAUGCAUGAGCAGGUGUACAGGUGUUCCUGUUAAAGUGGCCAAUGAGUGUAUAGUAAUACUAAUGCUAAUACCAAUACUAUUACUAGAAAACUAGAAACAAUAGUUUUACAAGGUUUUCACAAAGUUUCCAAGUUUGUAACUGGGGGAAAAAAUCGGCAACUCUCCAGCCCAAGCUCUAAAAGCUCUCUCACAGCAAGAACGCAGCCCACUAUUAAGCUUUAAACCUCUCAGCACUGCAUAUAGUACAUUUACCAGCACACAACGCUGCAUUUCACAAUGUGAGUCAUUGAUGGAGGAGUUGUUUUGGUUGGCAUUUUCCGCUUGUCUCCUACGUCCUGGAAAAGGUAUGGAGUCAAUCUGAGCAAUUUGAGUGGAUAAACAGCCGGCCCAUCACUCGUUGGGGAGAUUUAAAACAAGAGGUGAAGCCAACGUCAUUAAGUGUAGUAAUCAGCCAUGCUGAAUGUGAGCCUGUGGUCUCACUCCACUGUACCCUUAGGGUCCAGUUGUACAGGCUUAUUUUCUAGAUGGCUCUAAAGCGUGUGAAAAAACACACCUAGUAACAAGGUGAAUUGUUAUUCAUUUGUUGCAGGUCUUUUAGAUUAACUCAGAAGACUAAAAUAGACAGUAUACAGAUGUAAUUAUAUGUAUAUAGCUGUGUGUGUUAUACUAUUUUUAAGAAAACUGGAAUGUAAAACAUCCUGUGAAUUUUUAUAAUUAGAAAAAGUGAUUUCACUGGAUUUAUACAAAUCGCAAAGCAUGCAUGGUGUCUGGUGUCAUCAUAUUAUCUUCUCUUAAUAUAAUACACAUUAAACCACAUAAAUGGUUUAUGUUACUGCCCAACUUUGCCAUAGCUUCUUUUAGGCUGGACUACUUUUUAUCAUGCAUUUCAGCACACUACUUUGGAAAGGGGUUGUAUUGACUGAUUUUCCUAAUGAUGCUCCUCCGGGAGACUGAAGCACUGCUAAAAGGUGGACACUUUACAACAGGCCCCAUGUUUUUUUUUAGGUUCAUUAAAAUAACUUAGGACCUUCUACAAGCUGAAGAACAAGAGGAAACUGUAAUUUGUCAAAGUUUUAGCUCCUCUGUGUCAUUAAUUUCCAUACAGUCCAACGCUCCCUAAUGAUUUAUGUGCUCCUCAAAAGGUACACUAGAGGUUAUAAAUGAUUGCAUCCUUUGGGAAGAAUGAGUAAAAUUGUUUGAAUAAGAGCUGAUAUCAUCAUCAAGAAGAUAAGUACGCGGGGCUUCCGACUUGAGGUUGAUAGACAAAUGUGGCCUGUUCAUUAAAAUCUGUAAUCAAGAACAUGUGCAGGCCAGUACUUCCAAAUGCAACGGAUAUAAUGCUGAUGGCACACUACAAACACAUCUGAUGUCUAUUAAAACCAGUUUCACUGUAUUAGCUACAUUAUGCACAUAGUGCAUCAAAAUCAUUAUACCACAGCACUGUCGAAUUCUUGAAUCUUAUUGGUCAGAAGAUAUUGAGCAAUUUUCUAUAAGAGCGGCUGCGAUAACAGCGCCAGCGGCAAGGCAAAUCUUUUACAUAUAUUAUACUGGUUUAUAUUAAUGCGCUUGUUCUCAUUCACAGGGGCCUGUGAGGUGCAUGUUCCCUGGUUAAUAAUAGAUUUAAAAUCUAUUGAAGACUCCAGUGUUAGCACUUUGUAAGUAAGUUUUCCACCACAGGAAAGUCUUCUUAUUUUACUUCUUUUUUGGUAACGUGACAAGAUGCUUUUUUGUCUUAUUAACCAAGAGAAGAGAAAGAACAAGAGGCUGGUGAGGGAAUGACUGUUUAACGCUGCUAUAAUGUAAGUGAUAACAGGAACCAACUUUUCAUAGAUGUUCCAACAUUAAAGAUAACUAUAAACUAAUACAAACUAUUCUUUCAUAAACAAAAGAUUGUAAUUUUUGGUAAAUUGUUGCCGUAUAAAGGAAUAAAACACUUCAGGAUGUGCUGUUAUUGGAAAAUAAUAAAUUUCCCAGUGGUAACAAUAACUCCACGUUGCAUUGGGCUGCAUUAACACUUAUUAUAUAUGUUAUUUGUUCUAUAACAACACACCAAAAAAUGUUGAAAAAAAUGCAUCCAUAGUGUAAUGCAGAUACAAGCAACAAACAAAUGCAAAGUUGUUUUGGUUAAAGCUGCUGCAGCAUUUUGUUCUUUGGCUCAUUACUCGCAGGACUGCCCUGAUUAACUCUCAGGGUGUAAUUGAGAUUGCACUGCUAAAAACCUUCUCCCCCCACAGUAUAUGUGCUCUGUAUCUGCCCAUCCCCGCUAUCUCAUAGUGUCUCAUCUGAGAGCAGCCCUCUCUUCCUCUUCAUCUGUUCUGUGUGAAGACAGAACGGAGUGUAAUAUCACACAGUCCCGAACACACUCAGGAACUGAAGUAUGAUGUGCCAGCUCCUUUCAGACAUGGCUUUUCAAACAAGACACUAACGUCUACAGUCAGUGGUUCAGUAAGUCAAAGCAAUAGAUAUAAAGAGCUUUUUUUCUUGUACAGUUUUUCCCCUGUUUUGCUUGAAUAAGUAAACUGCAGUUCUUUUGUGACUCCUUUCAGUAGAAAUGUAUAAGUAGAAUUAUUUUACAGUUAUAUUAUGUUUUGUAAUAGACUGUCUAACAAUCCAUACAAUCUGUACACACAACACACAGAUAACAAAGUAGCUGUAUUCUGUGGCAUUUAAUUGGUAUCACCUAUUGAACUGAAUCUAUCAUGUCUUGUUUUGCUGUAAUGCUAAAUAGCUGAUUGUAUAAUAUAUUAAAUGUUGUAUUUGCUUUCUGAGGCACUCAUGUUCCAUGCAUAUAAGUACAUUAUCUGCACACUCCUGCAUGGUUUUAUACAGAAGCUGAUCUGGGUAAGAAAGAAAUGUCUUUUAUAAACCUACAAGUCUAGAUGUAAUAAGUGUGACCUUGUAAUCUUUUUCUUUCCUGCUCAAGAAAAUGACCUUGCAUUAAGCUGUUUGUACAUCUUGGAACUUUUUUCGAGCCCUGGCCUUCAUGAACUUUCUUUAGUCAGUCUCCACUGUCAUCUCCACUGUCUGUUUCUGAGCUUUUGCAGAUAUUUCAUGUCAUGAGUCAAAGUAUAGAAGAAAAUACCUGUUACUGACUUAGCAGAGACAGUUCGAGCUGUCAUGAGCACACUGACCCUCUCAUUAUUAUUUUACAAUAUAUUUAUGAACACAAGUAACUUAAUUUACUUUGGCCAAGAUCUAGAUGUACAGCAUUCCACUGUGAGCUAUAUUAGUGCAAGCCUGUGUAAGUUAGACUUUGUUUGGAAUAGUAGUAUGUCACUCAGCAGGCCAGUUAGAUGACUAUCUAUGACUAACAAAUCAGUUACUAAUUUGUUAAAAUUGGUGAAAAUAACAUCAGUGUGUAAAACAACAAAUAUCAAAAGGCACAAGGGACACACACAACAGGACAGUUCCACAAAAUACCAAGCAUAGAAAAAAUAAAGUAUAGUAACUGGACACUAACAGUCUUUACAUUAACUAAGGAAUAAAACAUGAUAUGUCAUGCUGUUAUAGGAAACUAAUCAACAAUAGAGAUGAGUUAGAGCUACUAGUAACACCCCAAAGGCUUUUUUUUUGUAUUAACACCACGUCCUGAAGGGUUUAUUCCUCUUAUACCAAAGAAAUUUCCCAAAUUUAACCAUUUAUAGUUACAUUUAAUAUUGUGGAACAUCUGCAGGACAAGUUAGUUCUUACAUUAUAGCAGCUAUAAACAG